rnacentral:misc_RNA from 1 species
AACAAGGCGUACCUGCGGACCUGCGGAGGGAUCAUUACCGAGUGAGGGCCCUCCGGGUCCAACCUCCCACCCGUGUUUAACGAACCUUGUUGCUUCGGCGGGCCCGCCUCACGGCCGCCGGGGGGCACCCCGCCCCCGGGCCCGCGCCCGCCGAAGACACCUGUGAACGCUGUCUGAAGUUGCAGUCUGAGACACUAGCUCAAUCAGUUAAAACUUUUAACAAUGGAUCUCAGAUCGGAA